rnacentral:rRNA from 1 species
AACAAACGCUGGCGGCGUGCCUAAUACAUGCAAGUCGAACGGGGAAAGCUUUCGGGUGAGUACUAGUGGCGCACGGGUGAGUAACGCGUGGAUAAUCUGCCUUAGAGUGGGGGAUAACUAGUCGAAAGAUUAGCUAAUACCGCAUAAGACCACAAGAACUGCGGUUCAAGGGGUCAAAGGUUUUUCGCUCUAAGAUGAGUCCGCGUAAGAUUAGCUAGUUGGUAGGGUAACGGCCUACCAAGGCGACGAACUUUAACUGGUCUGAGAGGAUGCUCAGUCACACUGGAACUGAGACACGGUCCAGACUCCUACGGGAGGCAGCAGGAGGGAAUAGUGCACAAUGGAGGAAACUCUGAUGCAGCGACGCCGCGUGAGUGAUGAAGGCCUUCGGGUCGUAAAGCUCUGUCGCAGGGGAAUAACACAAUGAAUGUACCCUGUAAGAAAGGAUCGGCUAACUUCGUGCCAGCAGCCGCGGUAAUAC